UACGGAGGGAGCUAGCGUUGUUCGGAAUUACUGGGCGUAAAGCGCGCGUAGGCGGCUUUGUAAGUUAGAGGUGAAAGCCCGGAGCUCAACUCCGGAACUGCCUUUAAAACUGCAUCGCUUGAAUCCAGGAGAGGUGAGUGGAAUUCCGAGUGUAGAGGUGAAAUUCGUAGAUAUUCGGAAGAACACCAGUGGCGGAAGGA
rnacentral:rRNA from 1 species